AGGACGAACGCUGGCGGCGUGCUUAACACAUGCAAGUCGAGCGGUAAGGCCCUUUCGGGGGUACACGAGCGGCGAACGGGUGAGUAACACGUGAGGAACCUGCCCCGAAGACCGGGAUAACCCUCCGAAAGGAGAGCUAAUACCGGAUACCCCAACCGAACCGCAUGGCUCGGUGAGGAAAUGGAUUCCGCUUCGGGAGGGUCUCGCGGCCUAUCAGCUUGUUGGUGGGGUAACGGCCCACCAAGGCAUCGACGGGUAGCUGGUCUGAGAGGACGAUCAGCCACACUGGGACUGAGACACGGCCCAGACUCCUACGGGAGGCAGCAGUAGGGAAUCUUGCGCAAUGGGCGAAAGCCUGACGCAGCAACGCCGCGUGGGGGAUGAAGGCUCUCGGGUUGUAAACCCCUUUCAGUGGGACGAAUCAAGACGGUACCCACAGAAGAAGCUCCGGCUAACUACGCGCCAGCAGCCGC
rnacentral:rRNA from 1 species